CCGCCCUCUCGGCGAAAUUGCCGACCCCCCUCACGCCGCCGCUGCCGGUCGAAGCUCCCGGUGGUUUCCCUUGGUCAGCUCCGGUCGGUUCUCUAUUUCCGGCGGAUUGCCCCUUUUCGUUGAUGGUGACCGCCAUCUUUGCCUGAGCCGCUCGCACCUUCUGCUUCUCCUCCCACCACUCCGGAUAUCCGGUUAAGAGGAAGCACUCCUCCCGGGAGAUAAACUCAAUGCCUCCUCUGGGACUCCGACCGGUAGACAAUGUAGGUGUGGGAUCUCAAAAUGACAAGGAGAAGAUGAAGGCUUCCAAUUUCCCAGUCAACGCCUUCACUAUAGGAAAGUGGAAGAGGGAGUCUACUCGCAAAGGCGACUUGACUGCCAAAAUCUACUAUGUCAAGAAGAAGUUGGUGUGGGAGUUUCUCAAUGGGCCUUUGAAGAGCAAAAUGGAAGUUUGUUGAUUUGAUAUCACUGCAAU